GACGAACGCUGGCGGCGUGCCUAAUACAUGCAAGUAGAACGCUGAAGAGAGGAGCUUGCUCUUCUUGAAUGAGUUGCGAACGGGUGAGUAACGCGUAGGUAACCUGCCUUGUAGCGGGGGAUAACUAUUGGAAACGAUAGCUAAUACCGCAUAACAAUGGGUGACACAUGUCAUUUAUUUGAAAGGGGCAAUUGCUCCACUACAAGAUGGACCUGCGUUGUAUUAGCUAGUAGGUGAGGUAACGGCUCACCUAGGCGACGAUACAUAGCCGACCUGAGAGGGUGAUCGGCCACACUGGGACUGAGACACGGCCCAGACUCCUACGGGAGGCAGCAGUAGGGAAUCUUCGGCAAUGGGGGCAACCCUGACCGAGCAACGCCGCGUGAGUGAAGAAGGUUGUCGGAUCGUAAAGCUCUGUUGUAAGUCAAGAAUGAGUGUGAGAGUGGAAAGUUCACACUGUGACGGUAGCUUACCAGAAAGGGACGGCUAACUACGUG
rnacentral:rRNA from 1 species